UGCAGCCAUGUUUAUCACAUUCAAAGUCUUUUAGUAUUAACUACUGAGGAGUUUACAGUAGAAAACUACAUGGGAACUUCCGUGGGAGAACAAAACAGGAAGCUGUGAGAGCAAAAAACAGAAGUCAAGAAAUCCGAUCAGUUAGGAGUGUGUAAUGAAACGGAACAUGAUUUCUGUCACCGGAAAAUUCAUCACCUAAACAUCAAAGGUGACGGCAAUGGAAAAUUGUACACCAUUACUUCACUUGUAACUAAUCUUGAAUGAAUUAGUGCAAUAAUUUUUGAACCCACAAAAAAAAAAACAUAAAAAAAGGACACAGAGGAAAACAAUAAUUUCUUCCCUAGCUACAACACCUUUUUCCUCUGAUUCCCUACCCGAUCAAUAUAGGAAAGAAGUUGAAUAUGGUAGAUAAGAAGAAGGAGAGUAUGAUGGAUUGCCCCUGCAAAUCCUAUAAAUUGCACGCCCAAGGACCUCCACCAUUUCUGCAGCAAACCUCAUGGUCAAUGGCCUCAAAGACGUUGCCCACAAUCCCACCACCGCCAUCACUAUUUCUGCGCCCAAGCUCAUCAUGCAUUCUCAUCGCUCAUCCCAGGCCCCUUUGAUUCCAUCUGCAACACCAAGUCGCAUUUUCAGCCAAACGCUCUUCCCAGACCAUCAGAAAGGGUUGGAAAAAAGAAAACGUUCUAAUGCGUAGUUGGUUGAUUGUUAGGAGGUGCGAUUUGCAAAGUAGUUGUCUCCGGGAGGAUACGUGUCAGUUUACAAAAGUUACAAAAUUCAAAUGAAAAUAUGCGUGUUAUACGCUUAAACCUGUCAGUGUCAUAAAGGAAAAAAAAACGCCAACAAAGUAAGAAGUACUAUUUUUUUUUUUUAUCUGCAAAAGAUAGGUGUUCUAUAACCUAAACUAGUCUAAUGUAAGCGAAAAAGGGCAAGGGGAGAUGAUCAACUAAGACAAGCCACAUAUUAUGACAAAUUUGAGAGAGGCAAGGGUUGAACUCUGACCUCCAACAUCACUAAAGAGGGUGAUGACCACGGGACCAAAUGGCCAGUGACCAACAAAGUAAGAAGUACUAACUACUUCUUUCUUUUGUGCCUCUGUCCUUGCACAAUUAAUUAUAUGCUAGAUAUUUUAAAUGUCGAUAUGUGAUUGAAAAUCCGUUUGAAGAAGUGGACGAUGAGUAGGCCACCUGUGGCUA
rnacentral:lncRNA from 1 species